rnacentral:misc_RNA from 1 species
GAAGAAGAACGUAGUGAACGUGCGAAACGUAAUGUGAAUUGCAGAAUUCAGUGAAUCAUCGAAUCUUUGAACGCAUCUUGCGCUCCUUGGUAUUCCGAGGAGCAUGCCUGUUUGAGUGUCGUGAAUACUCUCAACUUCAACCCUUUUUUCGGAAAGGGAGGAAGGUUGGACUUGGGUGUUUGUUGAAGUGCGAGCUUCGACUCAUCCUAAAUGCAUUAGCGAUCUGCCUCGAUCACACACAAUGUGAUAAUUAAAACUAAAGCAUUGUUUAAUGAUCAAGUCGAGACUGCUUCUAACUGUCGCAAGACAAUAACGUGCAUACAUUUGUGCAUGUCAUUUGACCUCAAAUCAGGUAGGACUACCCGCUGAACUUAAGCAUAUCAAUAAGCGGAGGA